UAAACAAUGUUAGUUAUAAUCUUGGGCUUCAAAAAUCAAUGUGAUUGUCCUUUGUUUUCUUUCCCUAAGUGAUCUGCUGGUAUUUAGUUUCAGAUCCCUUAUUAUUCCAUUAAUCAUUAUUAGCUCAUUAGUUUAAAAGUUUGAUUUAAAAUAGUCUCAAAAUAAGAGUAUCAGUACUGUGAGGAAUUUAUACAGUGCAGUUUCAUGUUAGAACUAGACUAAAGGUAAUUGUGUAGUUAUUUGUAAUUUUUCAUGGUAACAGUUAACAUGUUUAAGAUUUCUAAUGUUUUAAAAAAUUACCUUUGGUACAAUUCUUAGAAAUUCAGAGAUUUCCAGGGAUUCACUACAUACAGUGUUUGCCUAAUUUAUACUGGUCUUCGUUAUGUAUUUUAAUCAACUUUAGUGUUUACUUUGUAAAACAUAUAUAUUUGAUUUGAAAUAUUACUUUGAUUCUUCAUGAGUGCAUUUUGACAAAACAUAUACUUUUACAGUCUGGACAACUUAAAUUUGUGUUAAGCAGUGGAAAGAGCACUGACUAGUAAUUAUUACUCUUUGAAAUCUGAGCGCCUCACAAAUAAAACAAGUUGGAUGA
rnacentral:lncRNA from 1 species